UACGUAGGUGGCAAGCGUUGUCCGGAUUUACUGGGCGUAAAGAGCGCGCAGGCGGUUGGAUAAGUCGAAUGUGAAAGCCCCCGGCUCAACUGGGGAGGGUCAUUCGAUACUGUCCGACUCGAAGGCAGGAGAGGGAAGCGGAAUUCCCGGUGUAGUGGUGAAAUGCGUAGAUAUCGGGAGGAACACCAGUGGCGAAGGCGGCUCACUGGACCGGAACUGACGCUGAGGCGCGAAAGCGUGGGGAGCAAACAGG
rnacentral:rRNA from 1 species